AACGAACGCUGGCGGCAUGCCUAACACAUGCAAGUCGAACGAGACCUUCGGGUCUAGUGGCGCACGGGUGCGUAACGCGUGGGAACCUGCCCUUAGGUUCGGAAUAACUCCCCGAAAGGGGUGCUAAUACCGGAUAAUGUCUUCGGACCAAAGAUUUAUCGCCUUUGGAUAGGCCCGCGUUGGAUUAGCUAGUUGGUAGGGUAAAAGCCUACCAAGGCGACGAUCCAUAGCUGGUCUGAGAGGAUGAUCAGCCACACUGGGACUGAGACACGGCCCAGACUCCUACGGGAGGCAGCAGUGGGGAAUAUUGGACAAUGGGCGAAAGCCUGAUCCAGCAAUGCCGCGUGAGUGAUGAAGGCCUUAGGGUUGUAAAGCUCUUUUACCCGGGAUGAUAAUGACAGUACCGGGAGAAUAAGCUCCGGCUAACUCCGU
rnacentral:rRNA from 1 species